rnacentral:tRNA from 1 species
GGGGUUGUGGCUCAGCGGUAGAGCGCUUGCCUAGCAAGUACGAGGCCCUGGGUUUGAACCUCAGCACCACA